ACCUGCAAAAUAGACUAGAUAGUACUAAAUUUUUAAUAAAAUAAUAUUAAUAAUUACAAUAUUUAGUGCCUCUAGCAUCCUAAAUUAAGUAUUCAUCACAUCCUCUAAUUUAAACUUUACUCAUCCUCAAGUAAAAUAGAUACAUUAACAUUGUAUACCAAAUUGUCCUUGAAUUGAAAGUUAUCCUAGACAUUCCAAACUAUAGUUGAUAUCCAGC
rnacentral:lncRNA from 1 species